UAAUCUUUAGUGUAACAAGCACGAAAAAUUUUGAUUUUUUAGGAAAUAAUUUUGUUUAUUAAGAUUAA
rnacentral:tRNA from 1 species